rnacentral:rRNA from 1 species
GAGGACACACCUGUUCCCAUACNGAACACAGAAGUUAAGCUCUAUAGCGCCGAAAGUAGUUGGAGGAUCGCUUCCUGCGAGGAUAGGACGAUGCGGUGC